UGGGGAAUUUUGGACAAUGGGGGAAACCCUGAUCCAGCCAUCCCGCGUGUGCGAUGAAGGCCUUCGGGUUGUAAAGCACUUUUGGCAGGAAAGAAACGUCGCGGGUUAAUACCCCGCGAAACUGACGGUACCUGCAGAAUAAGCACCGGCUAACUACGUGCCAGCAGCCGCGGUAAUACGUAGGGUGCAAGCGUUAAUCGGAAUUACUGGGCGUAAAGCGUGCGCAGGCGGUUCGGAAAGAAAGAUGUGAAAUCCCAGAGCUUAACUUUGGAACUGCAUUUUUAACUACCGGGCUAGAGUGUGUCAGAGGGAGGUGGAAUUCCGCGUGUAGCAGUGAAAUGCGUAGAUAUGCGGAGGAACACCGAUGGCGAAGGCAGCCUCCUGGGAUAACACUGACGCUCAUGCACGAAAGCGUGGGGAGCAAACAGGAUUAGAUACCCUGGUAGUCCACGCCCUAAAACGAUGUCAACUAGCUGUUGGGGCCUUCGGGCCUUGGUAGCGCAGCUAACGCGUGAAGUUGACCGCCUGGGGAGUACGGUCGCAAGAUUAAAAACUU
rnacentral:rRNA from 1 species